rnacentral:rRNA from 1 species
ACACGCUGGCGGCGUGCCUAACACAUGCAAGUCGAACGGUCCAGUUGAAAGAUUGGAUAGUGGCGGACGGGUGAGUAACGCGUGAGCAACCUAGCUUGAAGAGGGGGAUAACACAGGGAAACCUGCGCUAAUACCGCAUAACAUGUAUUUUUCACAUGGGAGAUACAUCAAAGGAGAAAUCCGCUUUAAGAUGGGCUCGCGUCCGAUUAGAUAGUUGGCGGGGUAACGGCCCACCAAGUCAGUGAUCGGUAGCCGGACUGAGAGGUCGAACGGCCACAUUGGAACUGAGAGACGGUCCAGACUCCUACGGGAGGCAGCAGUGGGGGAUAUUAGGCAAUGGGGGAAACCCUGACCUAGCAACGCCGCGUGAAGGAAGAAGGUCUUCGGAUUGUAAACUUCUUUGACGAGGGACGAUAAUGACGGUACCUCGAAAACAAGCCACGGCUAACUACGUG